rnacentral:ncRNA from 1 species
GAUAGAGGUUGCGGAUAUGAUAAGUACUCUGUUGCACACGACGGCAAACGGCGGCAGGGGAAAGGCUGUUCCGCCGAAACGGUUUUGCGGUUGCCGCCGCAGGAUUGUUGGGAUCGUGUUUAAAAGACACGGUACUGUCACAUUUAUGUGGAGAGCUAUC